GCGCGGGGUAGCCUGGGCCAAGGGCACGCGGGCGCGGGGAGCGGGGGCGGGGCAGGCGCGGACCCUUCCUCCCCAGGACCCGCCAGACGCCCGGGGCCCCCAACGGCCAGCAAGGUCCGAAUCGACCCCAAGCUUGACCCGAGAGCAGCGGGGCCUCCGGGAAUGCCUGGCCAGGGCGGUGUCGCCGGGCGUGAAUGGGGGAGGGGGCGGCCGGGGCAGGACCCGGGUCAGGGCCACUCUGGUAGUCUCCUGCCCACCCCUCCCCAAGCCGAGCUCCCGGCCUCCCUCCCUCUCCCCCGUCCAGGGCUGAGGACUGGGGAAGCUGAGUCCCGGGACGGGUAUGGUGGGGGGGGGGGGGGCUUGGGAUGCAGCCGGACCUCCGGGAACAGCAGGGGGCCCUGGAGCCACCAGGAGGGAGAAGGCCCCGUCCCUGAGCCAGGCUCGCAGGAUGUUUAUCCCAGGAAAUCCAGAGGAUCAGAACCAGGCAGGACCCGGCACUGGGACGGAGGCAGCUGUCUGCGGGGCGUUUACAGUAGAUAUGUAUCACCUGUUCUGAGACGGAGCCGGGGAGGCUGUUUUUAAUCAUCCGGGAGGUUGUAAAAUGUUUCCCGACGUUACGAGGACAGCUGCUGGAAUAAUGAUGCAGGUAGCUGGCACACACGCAGUGCAAAGGUUUCACCAGGCAUGGUCUUCUACGCCUAUCACCUGGUCAAUACGAGCAGCAGCCACGUUAAGGUGUAAUACACACUGGCGUCAUCUAACAUUCCAUGUGAGGAAACUGAGGCACACAAAGGGCAACUGGCUUGCUCAAGGUCGCGUGAAUGGCAAAGUGUGGAUCUGGGAUUCAAGCCCAGACAAUUGGGCUCCAGAAUUGACUUUAUUAGUCAUGAUCACUCCAGAGAAAACAUCAAGCACUUUUCAUUACAUGUUUAAUGAAAAUGAUGUUAAAGUGGUUUUGUAGGAGAAAACAUUUCAUUCAUGUAAAUACAUUUUACUGCAUUCUAAAAUCUAGCAGGAAAAGAUGUGGCCUAACUACCGUCAAGAUCUGGGUACAUUUCAUUGGAAAUACAAGCACAUUGGACGUGGGAAAAUACUGGGGAACUUUACACGGAAGAGAAUGCAUCUGAUAGUCUGGCGAACUAGCAUUUGCUGGAUUUUUAGGACAUAUGGGAGGCCGGGUGCGGUGACCUCCCCCAGCAAUCCCAGCAAUCGGGGAGGCUGAGGCCGGUGGAUUGCUCGAGCCCAGGAGUCCAAGACUAGCCCGGGCAACAUGGUAAAACCUCACCUCUAUGAAAAAAAUACAAAAAAUUAGCCGGGCGUGGUGGUGCACAGCUGUAGUCUCAGCUACGUGGGAGGUUGAGGUGGGAGAAUCACCUGAGCCUGGGGAAGUCAAGGCUGCAGUGAGCCGAGAUUGCACCACUGCACUCCAGCCUGGGUAACAGAGUGAGACCCUGUCUCAACAAACAAAACACAAAAAUAUAUAUAUGCUGAAUGCUCAGUGAGCUGUAACAUGUGAGGCAGCCCCCAGGGGUGCAGAGAUGAACUGCUAAGAAGGCGUAUGUUCCCACGGGGUGCAGAGAUGAACCCCUGUCUGAGAAGGUGCAUGUACCCACGGGGUACAGAGAUGAACCUGUCUGAGAAGGCGCAUGUACCCACGGGGUGCAGAGAUGAACCCCUGUCUGAGAAGGCGCAUGUACCCACAGGGUGGAGAGAUGAACCCCUGUCUUGAGAAGGCGCAUAUACCCACGGGGUGCAGAGAUGAACCCCUGUCUGAGAAGGCGCAUGUACCCACGGGGUGCAGAGAUGAACCCCUGUCUGAGAAGGUGCAUGUACCCAUAGGGUGCAGAGAUGAACCCCUGUCUGAGAAGGCACAUGUACCCACGGGGUGCAGAGAUGAACCCCUGUCUGAGAAGGCGCAUGUACCCACGGGGUGCAGAGAUGAACCCCUGUCUGAGAAGGUGCAUGUACCCAUAGGGUGCAGAGAUGAACCCCUGUCUGAGAAGGCGCAUGUACCCACGGGGUGCAGAGAUGAACCCCUGUCUGAGAAGGUGCAUGUACCCACGGGGUGCAGAGAUGAACCCCUGUCUGAGAAGGCACAUGUACCCACGGGGGUGCAGAGAUGAACCUGUCUGAGAAGGCGCAUGUACCCACGGGGUGCAGAGAUGAACCCCUGUCUGAGAAGGUGCAUGUACCCAUAGGGUGCAGAGAUGAACCCCUGUCUGAGAAGGCGCAUGUACCCACGGGGUGCAGAGAUGAACCCCUGUCUGAGAAGGCGCAUGCACCCACGGGGUGCAGAGAUGAACCCCUGUCUGAGAAGGCGCAGGCACCCACGGGGUGCAGAGAUGAACCCGUGUCUGAGAAGGCGCAUGUACCCACGGGGGUGCAGAGAUGAACCUGUCUGAGAAGGCGCAUGUACCCACGGGGUGCAGAGAUGAACCCCUGUCUGAGAAGGUGCAUGUACCCAUAGGGUGCAGAGAUGAACCCCUGUCUGAGAAGGCGCAUGUACCCAAGGGGUGCAGAGAUGAACCCCUGUCUGAGAAGGCGCAUGUACCCACGGGGUGCAGAGAUGAACCCCUGUCUGAGAAGGCGCAUGUACCCACGGGGGUGCAGAGAUGAACCUCUGAGAAGGCGCAUGUACCCACAGGGUGCAGAGAUGAACCCCUGUCUGAGAAGGCGCAUGUACCCACGGGGUGCAGAGAUGAACCUCUAAGAAGGCGCAUGUACCCACGGGGUGCAGAGAUGAACCCCUGUCUGAGAAGGCGCAUGUACCUACGGGGGUGCAGAGAUGAACCUCUGAGAAGGUGCAUGUACCCAUGGGGUGCAGAGAUGAACCCGUCUGAGAAGGUGCAUGUACCCACGGGGUGCAGAGAUGAACCCCUGUCUGAGAAGGCGCAUAUACCCACGGGGGUGCAGAGAUGAACCUCUGAGAAGGCGCAUGUACCCACAGGGUGCAGAGAUGAACCCCUGUCUGAGAAGGCGCAUGUACCCACGGGGUGCAGAGAUGAACCCCUGUCUGAGAAGGCGCAUGUACCCACGG